AUACGUAGGGGGCGAGCGUUGUCCGGAAUGAUUGGGCGUAAAGGGCGCGUAGGCAGCCCGGUAAGUCUGGAGUGAAAGUCCUGUUUUUAAGAUGGGAAUUGCUUUGGAUACUGUCGGGCUUGAGUGCAGGAGAGGUAAGUGGAAUUCCCAGUGUAGCGGUGAAAUGCGUAGAGAUUGGGAGGAACACCAGUGGCGAAGGCGACUUACUGGACUGUAACUGACGCUGAGGCGCGAAAGUGUGGGGAGCAAACAGGAUUAGAUACCCUGGUAGUCCACACUGUAAACGAUGAAUGCUAGGUGUAGGGGGUAUCGACCCCUUCUGUGCCGCAGUCAACACAAUAAGCAUUCCGCCUGGGGAGUACGGCCGCAAGGUUGAAACUCAAAUGAAUUGACGGGG
rnacentral:rRNA from 1 species